rnacentral:lncRNA from 1 species
AAAGAAAUUUCAAACAAACAAUAAGAAUUCUUAAAGAAACAUUAGAAAGAACACAAAUAUUAUUCAAAUACAUCUUAGUUCAAUCUUAAUUUAAUUCUAGUUAAAAUCCUAUUCAACUUCAUUCAAACUUUAGGCCAAAACUAAUUGAAUCUUAAAUCCUAAUAAAAUCCUAAACCCUAAAUCAAACCCUAAACAAACCUUAAACCAAACCCCAACCAAAUCUUAAAUCAAAUCAUAACCAAAUCCUAAAUCAAAUCUUAAAUCCUAAAUCAAACCCUAACUAAAUUCUAAUCUAAAUCCUAAACCCUAAACCAAAUCCUAAUCCAAAUCCUAAAUCCUAAAUCAAAUCCUAACCAAAUCCUAAACUCUAAAUCAAAUCCUAACCAAAUUCUAAAUCAAAUCCUAACCAAAUCCUAAACUCUAAAUCAAAUCCUAACCAAAACAAGAUCUUAAAUCAAAUCCUAAUCCAAACCUUAAAUUCUAAACCAAAUCCUAACCAAAUCCUAAACCCUAAACCAAAAUCUAACCAAACCCUAAAUCCUAAAUCGAAUCCAAAUCCAAACCCUAAAUCCCAAAUUAAAUCCUAAACCAAGCCC